UGAAAAAAAAAAAAAAAUCUUUAUUUUUUUAUUUUAUGCAUUUCCAGAUUUAAUACAGCCUUGGACAAAUGAAGCUUUGAAACAGCCAAGGAGGAUUUGAAUUCAUUAAUUUGCGAAAAUUUAUUAGCUCCCGAAGAAGCGGUCACCCGCGAAACAUGUCGAGCUUGAUUGUGAUCUACCACUACAUAUGCUAGUCAUCAUAUACCUUUGAUGCCUUUUCUGGAUCAUUAUUGGUUAAUUCUGACCCUUGUUGUUUAAUACAGUUCUCUGUGUUAAUUUGUCUAUGUUUUUAAUGUGCUUUUUAUAUAUGCAUUUACUGUAAUGUUGGUCCAAUAACCCCUUUUGGGAAAUUGCAUCAAUAAACAUAUUUUAAUGUCA